UCUGGUUCAGAUGUUUCUGAUUUUGGCAUAGUAAAAGCUGCUGAAGUAUGCAGGCUUAUUAGAGCUCUGAAUAUUAGCCAGUGCAGCAAAAUUACUGCUAUGGGUGUAUCUGAACUUGUGAAGCAGUGCUCAUUGCUGGAGACAUUAAGAUGCGGUUAUGUACCUUUUCUGUCUUGUAGACAUCUUUAAUGUUCUUCCUUUCUUUGUUUUAUACCACGUUGUUGAAGAAAAGGAAUAUAUCUGAGAGCCAAAAAAGGGCCAGUGUGCGCUUGAAAAUGGGAAAUUCAAUGGGAACUAGACCAAAGCCAGUUGGCAGUUGCAGAUUAGGGCAUUGAGCAAGAUUUAAAGCAUUCACAAAUGAAUGGCCUGCUCAUAUGGCCAAGACUAUAUUCGAGAGAGAGUAAACAUGAGACUUUGAUAUUUUUAGGCAGAAGUUUCUAUUUUUUGAUGAUUUUGUCUUUGCAGUGGAUUUGUAGUAAUCGUGUUUCCUUUGGAUAAAUUCGAGCAUGGAAGAAUUCCUCA